rnacentral:rRNA from 1 species
GUGGGGAAUAUUGGACAAUGGGCGAAAGCCUGAUCCAGCCAUGCCGCGUGUGUGAAGAAGGUCUUCGGAUUGUAAAGCACUUUAAGUUGGGAGGAAGGGCAGUAAGUUAAUACCUUGCUGUUUUGACGUUACCGACAGAAUAAGCACCGGCUAACUUCGUGCCAGCAGCCGCGGUAAUACGAAGGGUGCAAGCGUUAAUCGGAAUUACUGGGCGUAAAGCGCGCGUAGGUGGUUGUGUAAGUUGGAGGUGAAAUCCCCGGGCUCAACCUGGGAACUGCUUCCAAAACUGCAUGACUAGAGUACGGUAGAGGGUAGUGGAAUUUCCUGUGUAGCGGUGAAAUGCGUAGAUAUAGGAAGGAACACCAGUGGCGAAGGCGACUACCUGGACUGAUACUGACACUGAGGUGCGAAAGCGUGGGGAGCAAACAGGAUUAGAAACCCGUGUAGUCC